AAGUCGUAACAAGGUUUCCGUAGGUGAACCUGCGGAAGGAUCAUUACAACGUAUCCACGUACAAACAAACGCGAACAAUCCUUUGGGGACUGUGAAACUGGAACAAGCCAGUCUGAAGUUAGAUGGUCGAAUCGUUUAAAGAGCUUUUAGAUGGAGUUUUGUUUAGAGCCGUCUGAACAAACUAGAGCUCCGAUUCUUGGCCUGGAAUCAGCCCUUUGUGGUAGUUUCCGAACUUCAUCACGCCCAAAGUGUAACCUCCCACCAUCGGGAACAAACUGUUGAACCCUUUUAUUAACCCUUUGUAACUUUUGAACUGAAAUUUGUAAAGGCUGCGGCUUUCCUCGUUGGCUUCGGUCACGGAAGGCACUAACGCGGUGCUUUACUUGUAUUUACGAAAUACGAACAACUCUUAACAACGGAUAUCUUGGUUCUC
rnacentral:misc_RNA from 1 species